CUCCUUAGGAACAUCAUGCUCAAGGUUUGAUGAGCUCUAAGUUUGAGCUUAUGGCAAUAACAAUAUCUUGGCUCAUGUCCUUAGAAAUUGUAUCUGAGUGGGAACAGCUUCUCCAGACUCUCUGGUAAAAUGUCUUGGAUGGAAAACAACCACAGCAAAUACCAUUCAUAUUUGCUGGAUUGACUUCCAUUCUGGACAGGGAAUGGAUAAGUGAACACCAGCAAUUGCUGCCCCUGUUUCUCUUUUUGUUGGAGUUUUCUGACAUUCCUAUCAAAGAUACACAUCUGCAGGGCCAGAUUUAGGUUUGAUGAGGCCCUGAGCUACUAAAGGUAAUGGGGCCCUUUAUAUGUCCAGCUGUCCUCUGUCAAUAACAAAUUGCCACUGUUUUUUUGUGUUGAAUAUAUGCUAUAUGGCAAUUUAUGGACCUAAAAGCCCCCCAUCCAAACAAUGACUAUCAUCAGUGCAGGUAAGAAAAAAAAUUAAUUUUAAUUUUUAUCAUCUACAGUACUGUUUUAUUUAUUUUAUAGUACAGUACAUUGAUUAUUGCUUUCAUUUUAUGGAUCAAUGGUUUCGUUAGAUAGUAAAAUUCAUGUUAAAUUGCUGUUUUAGGGGUUCUUUUUAAAAGUCUGGAACAGAUUAAUCCGUUUUGCAUUACUUUCUAUGGGAAAGACCACCUUGGUUUUGGAACGCUUUGGUUUUGGAACAGACUUCCAGAAUGGAUUAAGUUUGAGAACCAAGGUACCACUGUAUAUAGAAAUGAGCAAACCAGUGAUAUUUUAGGGAGCAGACUAGCAGGCAGGGCUCAUUACUUACAUCA